UACGAAGGGGGCUAGCGUUGCUCGGAAUCACUGGGCGUAAAGCGCGCGUAGGCGGCUUUGCAAGUCGGGUGUGAAAUCCCCAGGCUUAACCUGGGAACUGCAUUCGAGACUGCAUUGCUAGAGUAUGGGAGAGGGAAGUGGAAUUUCCGGUGUAGCGGUGAAAUGCGUAGAUAUCGGAAGGAACAUCAGUGGCGAAAGCGACUUCCUGGACCAAUACUGACGCUGAGGAGCGAAAGCGUGGGGAGCGAACAGG
rnacentral:rRNA from 1 species